AACAUGCAGUAGAGCAGGGAUGCAUAGGAGGAGAGGAUAUUCAUGCAGGCAUCAGGUAUGGUGGCUCUCCUCUGGGACCUGAAUAGGAAAACUUGGAGACAGUCAGUCCUUUAGGAAUUCAAACAGGUGCGUUUCCCUGAGCUGUUUUGGGAAGACCUCAUAUGAACCUCCAUUGGAAGCAUGGUAUUCACUAACAAGCCUGAUUGAAGCUUUGGGCACGCCUGUGCUGCACUGUCCUUCUGGGGGCAAAUCACCUCUGCAAACAGGCUGUGGAGCUGCGCUGGCAUCUCUGGUCCCUCCAGUUGCUGCUGCUCAUGCUGUGGCUGCCCUCUGAUUCUCCUGCCCACGCUGUCUGGCAGCGCCUGCAGGGAUCCCAGCUCCCGGUGUAGGCGGAUAACCUGCCCCUGUGCCAAGGUAAGAAGCAGUAAAGCCAUCAGCUAUCACAGUGCAGGCUCCUUUCCUCCUCCCAUCUAUGCACCUACGUGGGCUUGCCAGGAGCCCGAGGUGGUGGCAACCCCCUAUGGCCUUGAGCAACCGGGCUGCAGGGACUGAGCCUACGAUACUGCUGACAUGCGGAGAUGCACUCCUGAAAGCUGCUUGGGAUGAAAACAGCACCCUUUCCUGCACUUCCCUACCAGAUGCCAGCAUGCAGCCCUGAACCCUGCUGUAGAUGGGACAUGUUUCUCACUGCCAAAGUCCUCGCAAGAUCCAAACGGUUGUAUUUAUAGCAACGAGCAGAGCUCUGCUUAAGUCUGAGUACCGUGUU